UCUGCUGGAGUUCAGGAUGGAGGCUGCUGCCUCUGCUGAGGAAGGGACCUGUGUUUGUGCAAGGGACAGACAAGAUGAAGGGCAGAUGAAGAGCCUCUGUUCCAGGGAACUCAGAGCAGGGACACUGUCUUAAUUAUCUUGAAAAAAGAAAAAGCAGAGAGAAGUACAAAGAGAGUUUGAAGAGCCCUGUGGUCCCAAAGUGCUGCCUGCCCCUUCUUUUAGCAGCUUUCAAGAUACUCACCUUGUGCCACUUUGCAACUGGAUUUUGAAGAUGCCAAGGGCCAGGACACUCCUGUGACCCUCACUGACAGCUGGAUGGAC